UACAGAGGCCUCGAGCGUUAGGCGGAAUCACUGGGCUUAAAGCGUGUGUAGGCGGACUUCUAAGUACCUUGUGAAAUCCCACGGCUCACCCGUGGAACUGCUCGGUAUACUGGUUGUCUUGAGCCUUCUAGGGGCGAGUGGAACAAAUGGUGGAGCGGUGAAAUGCGUAGAUAUCAUUUGGAACGCCAAUGGUGAAAACAACUCGCUGGGGAAGUGCUGACGCUGAGACACGAAAGCCAGGGGAGCAAACGGG
rnacentral:rRNA from 1 species